GACUACCGGGGUAUCUAAUCCCGUUUGCUCCCCACGCUUUCGAGCCUCAGCGUCAGUUACGCGCCAGUGAGCCGCUUUCGCCACGGGUGUUCCUCCAGAUAUCUACGCAUUUCACCGCUACACCUGGAAUUCCGCUCACCUCUCACGUACUCUAGCCAAGUAGUAUCCAAAGCACUUCCGAGGUUAAGCCCCGGGAUUUCACUUCAGACUGACUUGGCCGCCUGCGCUCCCUUUACGCCCAGUAAUUCCGAACAACGCUUGCAACCUCCGUAUUACCGCGGCUGCUGGCACGGAGUUGGCCGUUGCUUAUUCCUGAGGUACCGUCAUACCCAUACCAUUUCCUGCACAGGCUAUUCUUCCCUCAGAAAAGGAGUUUACGACCCGAAGGCCUUCAUCCUCCACGCGGCAUGGCUGGGUCAGGCUUGCGCCCAUUGCCCAAUAUUCCCCACUGCAGCCUCCCGUAGG
rnacentral:rRNA from 1 species